rnacentral:rRNA from 1 species
UACGGAGGAUGCGGGCGUUAUCCGGAUUCAUUGGGUUUAAAGGGUGCGCAGGCGGCCUGUUAAGUCAGCGGUGAAAUCCCGGGGCCCAACCCCGGAAGUGCCGUUGAUACUGACGGGCUGGAAUGCGGUCUGGGCGGGCGGAACGUGGCGUGUAGCGGUGAAAUGCGUAGAUAUGCCGCAGAACGCCGAUAGCGGAGGCAGCUCGCCGGGCCUGCAUUGACGCUCAGGCACGAAAGCGUGGGGAUCGAAC